GUCAAACUUGUCUCUCUUUUUUCUACAUUUCCAGGGAAACCAAGAUCACAAAUAAAGGGGCAUUCUGUAUUUUUAUUGAUUCUCUAAUGUAAAUUCUUUUCUGACAAUAAAUGUAUCGUGAAGGGUACUCUGACCACUUUUCUAGAUUCAUUUCAUAUAACACAUCCAUGGACUGAUCUCUAGGAGUCACUUCUUUACCGUCUGAACUUUGAACACACCUGGGAGCUUAGUUCCUGUCUAUUGCGUAGUGGCGUACAUGGGACAGUGGAACUAGAAGAGUGCCUUAGGAGGACAUGUACACACCCAAGUGACUCGUUGCAUGCCUAAAAAUCACUGCCAUCUGCUUAUUUAACACAGGGACAGUAACCUGAGCUCUGAGGUCAGGUCCCCUCUAGACUAGGAAUCUUUAAAAUCAUCAUUUCUAAUAAAAUGUUGUCAUCAAAUAACAUUUUAUCAUUGAAUAAAAUAUAAACUAAUUACCAAGAGUUGCCACCUUGACACAUUUCAACACUUUUGAAAGAAUAGAAAGAUCACAACUUCUAAAUUUUCAGUGUAUUAUCAUUUAGAGUAAUUAAAGGUCAUUGAUAUAUUACGAUAGUUUCUUUGUGAGUAAAACAUUCCAAUAGUAAUUACUUCAGUUCUCCUGGAUCUUCAGUUUCUGAACUCGAGCCAAAAUAACUACCAGCCUAUCAGCCUGUGAUGGAGUAACUAAACUCACAUUUUCUGUGUACUGUUUUAUUCUAUAAGUAGAACUUUUUUUUUUUUUUACUUCGCUGGGCCUGAAUUUUCUCAAUUAUCUAAAAGAACAAAAAACAGUGAACAACACUGCAGAAAUGUAGUGAUGAGGAAAAUGUGUUUAGUAGCAAAACACUGGGCAGUGUAAAGUAUCUGGAAAGACUUUAAGCAGUAAAACAAUACAGUUGCAAAUUGUAUGGAUAAUUACAUGUUUGAAUACAGCAUGAAGCUUCACUAUUAGAACAUUGUUUUUGCUUGUGCUAAUAGGUUGUGUCGCAUCUUUUUUUGUUGUUUUUUGUUUGUUUUUGUCUCUGGGCUCUGAAGAUUGAAGUUUACUAUUAAUUGCCAAGAAGGACAUAAAAGAGGUGUGGUGGAAGGGUCUGCCAGAACCAGAGGCUAAGCACACAGCAGUGUAAAACAAAUUCUUUAUUCCAGCUUCCAGAAUGCAUCCUCUUCAGCCUUUCCUGUUCAUUGGACUAAAGCUGUUAAGCAAUGGUGUCAAGAACCGUCAUCCACUGGUUGAAGCUCAGUACAAAACCAGGAAGCAGGCGGGUUUAGAUCCAGUAGGAACAACUUGACUCAGAUCUUCGCACUUUCACUAAGGAGGGUCGGGGGUGAGGAGACAACAUUUACAUUUGUACUGAAGCUGAUCUGAUGUGAUUGUGACAGUUUUCCAGUCAGUAUUUGUUUAUCUUAAUUUAGUCGCGUGUUAAAAAUGUGAGGGUCAAAUUUACUUCCUUUCAAGGCCACUUGGCGUACACGUCUUGUAGUCUUUGGAAGGGAUGGCAAGGAAACAGCCAUGCUUUAAUGAUGGGAUUAGAUGUUGAUGAAAGCUAGGUGUAAUAGUAGAAACAUUUUAUUGUAUAUUUUUAUUCCAAAGUAAGUGCAGUGUUAUUAUAUUUAGAUAAAUGUUCAGUGAUAAGCCAGAAAUCUUACACAUACAUUGCUGAAGACAUUUUCCCUCUGGAUUUAAUAAAAUUCUGGUACACAGAGGUACAAAAUGUAAUUCAUAAAUGUAAUGAAAACCCUAGAAAACGCUUCCCGCAUGCUUUCCUUCCCUCCCCUCCCCUCCUGUCCCUUUCCUCCUCUUCUCCAGCCCACUCUCCAGUCUUGCUUGCCUUCAUUGCUGGGGGAAAAAAAAAAAGAGCAGGUGAGCACAUAAUUAGGUUGUCACUUUUAAACUCUGGAUUAGUGGGACAUCCUGGAAGACCUCCCUCAACUGCAGUGCUGAACAAACGACUUUUUCCACCCCCAUCUGCAUGCUCCUACUACUUUUGACUAGAUGUCUUGAGAAUCUGCCAAUAUUUUUAAUUGAUCAAGUGAAAAAUACACAGGAAGUAUGCCUGUUUUUUAAUUUGUUUGUAUAUUUUCUUGAUGCGUUGCAUAAAGACCCAAAGGUGCUUUGGCUUCUGUCUGUCCUCACUGGAACUGUGGUUACUGUGGGGUGUGUGGUACUCCGUAGCACACCAUAAAUCUCCACUAGAUGUCAGCGUGUCACCAAAUGAAACCAGCACUCUCUCCUGACCUGUUACUGAAACAGCUUUUUAAUCAGAAUGCUACAGACAAGUUUUAGUAUACAGGUUAAUAAAUUAUAUUUGUCAAUGAAUAGUAAUAAAAAUAAAAUCUUUAAAAAAUUUAGUACCUUUCAUCUGAGGAUUUCAAAAUGUUUUACUUAUAUUUUGGUUUUUGCCGUAAGAGCCCCAAAGAGAUAGAGUGCAAAUAUUCAUUUUUCAUUUUACAGUAAAGUAAAGCAAGGGGACAAAAUGAUUGGCUCAAGAUCACAUAGACGAUGUCUGAAUAAAUGCAGGCUGGUAUUUCUGCCAUCACAGAAUCUACUCUACCUGUGUACUUAGAUACAGAUGCCCUUUAUUUAUCAUUUAUAUUAACUGCUUUGCCUUAAAAACAAGCUCAAGAAAAAUGGAAUAAUAGUUAACAAUUAUCGAAGAUUAUUGAUACGAUUAGUAUGGGGGUGUUUCAGAUGUAAUUUUAAGUUUUUAUAAAGACUGCACAAAGAAAAUAUGCUGAACAACCUAGAUGAAAACUUUAGAAAAUCAUAGCAAUAUUUUACCUGUGCUGUUUUACAGAUGGUGAACUCAGACCAGUGUGAGCCUUGUCUUAGCUCAUGUGCUCAAGUGCAGGAGGAAAAGCAAUUAUAAUUGGGUCUGGAAGGUUGAAGCUCUUGGGUAUGAUGGGAUUAAUGGACAUAACUGCAUAUUGUAGGUUUUUCACUGUAUAAUUUUCUUUAAGAGGAAUAUACAUAAAAUCCUGUAUAUUAAGACUUAAGUGAUUUUCUCAAAAUUGUAUAAAUACAUAAGUUACAACUGUAAAAGUUAUGUUUGUGGAUAAAGAUUAAAAAUACAUAAAUGGCAAGUUAGGGUGAUGUGACUAUGGGUAAAUUCAAUUUUCUCUUUAUGUGGUAAUAUUGUUUCUACAAUAAAUAAAAAGAGAAAACGGUUUUUAUUGUAAAAAUUCACCACAGUCCCCACUUUAGAUAGGCUUAUUUCCUAUCAGUAGAGGUGCAUUGUAUACAGCUGAAAUUCAAAAGGUAUAGUUGAGUUUAUUUCCUUCAAAUGUUUUAAUCAUAGAAACCAGGGUUAAACCGGCAGAAGUACAUAUUUUCGAACUUUACUGUGUAUUUUAGGUGAAAUAAAUGAUUGCCCAUUCCAGCAGGCUGUUUGCUGCAGUGUUCAGUGCAUUGCCAGUAUUCAUACUGAUGAAAAAGUGUUUAAUAAAUGUAGCUGUUUUCAAUUUGUGUUUUCAUUUUAAUGGUGCAAGGUUAAAAGAGUUGCCA
rnacentral:lncRNA from 1 species